UCGCGCGCUCCCGCCGCACACACCAGACCCUCCUUCCUCAUCAGAGGUAAGCUCACUGCAGCCAGAGUUCAUCAAAGUCUUUCCUUUUCCUUGUCCAUGAAUCCUGAAUUCCUGACCAUGGAGCUGAGCUGAUGCCUCGACAUGAAUUUGUGAGCGAAGGCAAACACAAGCGCGUGCGAGGGGAAGGAUGGCGUCUGUUUCCAGGGCCGUGUGGAGCCUGCAGAGGCCGGUCUCGAACGGCACGAUGACCAGGGAGGCGCCCUCCGGCCGCCGAUCGGUCGCGGCGCCGAGGUCCCGGCGCGCCAAAGCCGUCGUGGUUCGCUCCGAGUCCGGCUCGGGACGCGGCGAGCAUUGCGCCCCUGCCAGGGCCGUCGCCGACGUCGCGCCGAUUCAGGCGACGAAGAAGGUAACCGCGUGCAACUCUUACAAACUGAAUUGUUGGAAGCAGCCAAUUGGCGAAUUCACUUGGUUCGGCAGGAAGUUGCUUUUAGGCGCGUACAUCAGCACACACACCAGUACACCAGCACACGUAAAGUGAUAAAGGUUCGAUGCUUUUCAUAAAAGAUAAAAGAUAAAAGUUUUUUUUAUAAUGAACAAGAAAAAAGGUUUGAUUUUGAUGGUUCCAUUUGACUUGGACCAGUUUGGGAACAGUUCCGUUACAGCACCUUUGGUUCAACUUGUGUCUGCUUUUAUUCAAAAAAAAAAAAAGAACGGCGGCCCAAAACUUUUUCGACCAGUUUAGGAACAGUUCCGUUAGAGCACCUUUGGUUCAACUUUGUGUCCAUCAGAACGGCAGGCCAAAACUUUUCCAAAAAGAACUUCCGACCAUAAAGAAGCGUUGUAGUCUCACAGCCACAGCACUGUGAACAUAUAGCAGACUACAAACCGUUAAGUGCAAGUUUUUAACUGGCCUACGAGGGGCUCAUUCCCCCUUCUUCCUCCCAUCCUUUCUUUCUCUUCUUCCUCCGUCUCCUUUUUUUUUUCUUCUUCCUCUUACAUCCAUGGUUAAAAUUUUCAUGGGCUGCGCGAGGUAGGGGCUCUAGGCCUGGGCAUUUCUCAGGCUGGGUCGGGCUUUAGCCGGACCAAAAAAAGUCCAGUUCAUUUCGGAUUGAAAAUUCGUGCCCACAAUUAUCCCAUAGGCGUUCUCGAGCUAAUUUUUCGAACUAGGCCACUCGGUUUCCGUUCUUUUUAGUUGAAAAAUAAAUCAAAUAAAUUGUCUAGGUGGGUUUUGGCCGGCCUGAAUUUUUUUAGACUUAGUUUUAGCUGACCACGCUCAGUCUCAUAGGAAGCAUGGGCGGGCCAAAUCCUAGCAGGCUCGGGCCGAGCCCACAGGCCGGGCCAAGCCAAAAAUCUCAGGCAACCCCGCCCCUAGGCAUAAUAUUAAGUUUUCCUCAUGUUUCUAUGAGUUUUUAAAUAUCGUUCAAAGGUGAUUGAAGUCUAGUGUUUGAAUUACUAGUUAUCGUUCGCCAACAAAGAAUUGUAGUUGAACGAAUCUGACCAGUGGGUACGGUUGAUCUAGAAUAAGGAUACUAUCAUGGGCCUUCUCUUAUCAUCUCCAUCUUCUUUGACAAGGCCCAGCACCACUCCAAAGUCCAAACAGUCCGCGCGUUGCCUUUGUUCAGCGCAAACGCAGCGCAGAAUCACGGCGCCCGCAUUACUACUCGCCCUCGUGAGCCAAGCAAAGCAAUAUAUUAUUGUUUUAAGCAUAUUGAUAGUAUCCAAAUGAUAUCUGACCAUUACACACAACACACUACAAAAAUCACUAACAUGUGUAAGUGAAGACUAUAGAUGUUUCGAGACUUCAAAAAUUUACUCUAUAAGAACUAGGUUUGACAUAUUGAUCGAAUGCCAAGUUACUUUGGGCAAAUCAUAAUCAUAAUGAUACCACAAUGUUAAUAAUAUAUUAAUACUUAAUGAUCAUGGAGCCAAUAAAAAACUCACGAGCUGGCCUUUUAAGAAAACUUGGUAAAAAUGAGGCUCGACUCGGUUUGUUUUAAAGGUUGAGCCGAACCUAAUCAAGCCAAGCUAUGAACAAGUCGAGCCAACUCGCAAAGCUUGAGCACUUUGCUAGCAUUAAUCAUAACCCUAUGAACACCUAUAGGAAAUUGGGUUAGUAGAUUUUUAAAUUUGACAAAGUCGCCAUAUGUAUCUUGAUAUUGAUGACAACAUCGCCUAAUGAAAAGUAGCCAUAUUAAUGUGCCAAACCUGAUUGUAUCUCUUGUGGACACGGGAUAUAACCAACUCCGAUGACCAGCCAAGUUAUUUUGCUAUCGAGUGAAUUUCAUAAACAAAUUUAAAAGUACUUUUUUGUUUAAGUCAUCAGAAAUUCACACCAUAUAUCGCAAAAUGUCAAAACCACAUUUUUAAAUAUAAAUAUGGAAUAGAAGUUGUAGUUAUAAUUCCUUCUAUUCCGACGCUCUCCUUGCCACUGAAUCUGCCCUUUUCCGGCAUAUCAACUACUAUCUACAUGUAAGCAAACAAAAAACGGCAUAGGCACAUGAGAGUGACGAGUAUGCCUGCUGGAAGUGAAGGCAAAUGCUUUAAAAGUGUGGUUUCGUGAUAUGAUGAAAAGAUAUGCAAGUACAAGUGUGACUGCCUUAAAACUGUUGCUUAGAAGUGCGAUGCUGUGAUGGAGUUGUGACAAAAAGUAGCUAGUUCUUGUAAGAUUUUCUCUUGAUCGUUUCCUCCCAUUAACAUUUGUUUCUGAACUCUAAGCAUGCUUUUAUUAUAAUUUAUAACCUAUCCGUGGCAUUCAACUCAACUAUAGCAAGAACCACGAAUGGAAAAAUAAAAAACAUAGUAAUGUUUUUUUAGAAAAACAUCUGUGAUAUUGGCGUGGUGAUCUAGUCACUGUAGUUCAAUAGCAGCUAGGUUCAUAGGUCUAAAUACUGCUGAAUCAUUCCAUUAUUUGGAAUCUUUGGAGCAAGACAAACUGCCGCAUGACUACCAAUAUAGAGUGACGCCGCCUAUUUUGUAGCGAUUCUGUUUACCUUAGAUAAGGAUAAUAUAAACUGCUGCACACUGGAUCGCUCGUCAAGCCCAUGGUUUCGCCAAAACCAGAGAAAACAUAUAGCACUUGAGCUCUGCCCAUGCAAGGAUUUUUUUCCCCAUGGUUUGGUACGUGCAUCAGGAAUGUGAACGGAAUUGGGCAUGGAAUCCACACGAGCCAGAAUGCCAGAUGCAUCUUGGCAAGCCUAGCAAUUAUUUGAGUACAGCAUGCCGGUAGAUAGGCUGCUCGAUCGUGCAUCCUGCAAGUGGCCAAGGUUUUGCUGCAUGGGCGCCACCACGUAGGGACAUGUUAUACGUCGCAUUUUUUGGUUUCAAUCAACUUUUCAGUAAAAAUAAUACCUCCAUGCUCAUUCAUAGAGAUUCCUAGAUGGUCUUAACUUGCACUAGGUGUUGCCUGCAGCAGAGCUCAUUCGGCUAUUGUCUUGUCACUACCAAACCCUUAGACCAACAGAGUGUUAACUGCAAUCCACGCUCCUGUUUGUGGAUUUGCAUUCUGACGCAUCAUGUGUUCAUUGUUUGGUGCCCAAAGAAAUCACUUGCAUAGAAAACAAGGCCUCUCCACUUCCCCACAAAUUCUACCGAGAAUAAUCAGGGGCAAAUUCUGGCAUAAGGCAGACACCAGACAAAGAUGCUGAAAGGUACUCGUGCAAGUUUUCUGCAGUUGUUUUGUCUGAAAUUUGUCCAAUGUUUGCCUCCCAGGGCUUGCAUCUUUCGACUUCAAUAGUGCGUUUGGGUUUGGGAUGAGGUCAUAAGGCCCCAAAAAAUCUCAUUGAUUUAGACAGAUGUUAAAAGUUGUAUACAAGUGGUACAUCGUACAUGAUAAUUUCGCUAAAGCAAGGGUAGUAGGUGACAAUUCCGCUGUUCGGACCCAUCUCAUUUUUUAGGUGAAAUAGUAGGGGAGACGUACCUGAAAAUUAUUCCUCCAUAAUUUCACUUUGAAUGAUAUGUGAUAGAGGGGCAUUAGUAUAAUAAUUUAAACAAAUCUAGUGAUGUCUGGGGAUUUUUUUUUCCAGGAAGAAUAGAGACUUAAACUGCAAAAAAGUUGUAGAAACAAACACAUUUAGCCCUCAACUCAGCAGGUUUGACAAAUUCUUGUGGUUAUAAGAUCUUAGAGAAAAAGAAGAGAUAAAUUUGAAACCUAUUUCAGAGUGUCAUGAACCAUAAACAACUCCCAUCUGAUGCCGUCUGCAACGUACUUUGAACUGAAGAGCUAAGAAAGAGUAAUUAGCCAUAGACACAACUCAAGUCAAGAUAGAGUUUGGGCUAAAACAACUUUAUCUUAGAAAUCGUUAUGAUGCAGACUUUUUCAGUUUGGGCUGCAUUAUUGAAGUGUACAAUAAUAAUAGGUAAAAUUAAAAUAAACAAGUUUCAUGAAUCAUUUGAACAACUCAUUGGAUGUUCUUGUUGCAGUCAUCUGGUGUGGCAUAGCAUAAUUCAUUCUCGGAAACGAUUCAUUUGAUCAAAUGCAUGAAUCCGAGAGUUAAGUAAUUUCUGUUGCAUAGGAUAGUUUUGCAUUGAGGAAAGCUGAGACAACCAACUGUUCGUUGGAUGUAUACUUGUUGCAUUGCAGCCAUCCGGUGUUGCAGUGCAAAUCCACAAGGCUAAGAUAGCUGACAAUUUAUUUUUUCAAACAUUUAAUUCUUCUUUUUUCCCAACCUGGAAGUUCAUUUUGAGUUGCCCAUUUGAUUGAAACAUGGAACACGUUUUGCAUAGAUUUAUUUUUCGUAGGUAAAGAUUUUGCAGCGAAGAUCUAGUUUCCGUGAUUUUCAACGGACGCACUCCGUUUUUCCUUGUGGAUACGUAAGAACAACGACGGUCCACUUGAGUCACCGAUAGAAAGCUCCGAACGGUGUACCGCUCUCCUUUGCCGACGCCGUCCGUCAGAUCACGAAAACGUGACGGACUGACGGGCAUGGGCAUGAAUUGCCCCAUUUAACGAAACUUAACCCUGUUCACACAAUCACAUAGGAUGAAUUCGGAUAAAAUUUUAAGGACUGGCCCCAGAAAUUUUAGUUUCUCUCUUCCCAUCUACACAUGGAUGUGAGCAGCGUGGUUCACCAGGCUCGCACAACGGACGAAGCCACGGCAGAGCGGCUCGCGCGCAGCCGUGCACGGCGCGGCAAAACAGCCAUCGGCGCCUCUUUCUUCUGCAUCGCCGGGGCACAUGCGCGCGCGCCCUGCCGGGGGCGGGGAACGGGAUACCAGGCGGGGACGGCCGCGCGCCCGCGGGUUUGCGGCAGCGUUGCCCCUGCCCGGAUGGUUGUUGUCGCGGCGUGGUGGCCGCGCACGGAACCGCGGUCGCGUGUCAAGCCAAUGUCCCCGGCCGCUGCGCCACACCGAUCCAAGACUUGGAUGGACAAAAAAAAUCACAGGAGCACUCACUGGCUGUCGUACAAAAUUCAUCAACACUUUUGGAUUUCGAACUUUGAAUUUGUUUAGGCUAGACGAACGCAGAUUGGGCCGAAUCUUUUCGGAACGAAAAGAAGAAGAAGAUGAAGAAGAAACAAACAACCAGUGAGAUUGACAGCGGGGUCCGAGUCCAACUCCGAGCUGGAUGACGUGAACGAUCAGACUGCGCGUUACGCUCGGCAAGAAAAGAAAGACAAAGACGGCCGCCAUAUCCAUGGAUCCCUGCCGAGACCGUGGACGGGCGGGCGUGUAGCUGAGCUGCGCAACGGAUAGCGUUGUCCGUCGUGGCAGGAUGGGUGGUGCUCGUUCCGUUCCGUCCGCGUUGGACGCCGGGGUUUCGCAGUCGCAGCCAUGCACGAUAUAUGGCCUGCCGGCGCACGUGUGCUUUAUUGACACUCCACCCUGAUCCGGCCUUAUCUAAUUCUUAUUACUGUGCUAGCCAAAUCCAAGAACCACCCGAGAAAUUCAGACUGCAACACAGUUAAAAAAAAGAGGAUGAAACAGGUUGGGCAAAGUGCUUUUGGUUGCGGCAUCUCCCGGUGCAUCACCGAAAACAAAUUUGGGUAGCGGAGAGGUGUACAAUUUUGGUUGGAGCAUUAUAUUGCUCCCCAACAAGAUAAAGCACUUCAUGAAACGGAAAGGGCGCCCCCACCGUGUCUUGCACGUAGCGCGUCACGUAUGCCGGCGGCACGUGCGGGAGCGAUUCAGUUCCAGAGCUUUUCUGGGAAUGGAACAAGGGUGACGGGGUUGUUCUGGGUCUCUUUGAUUGUGUCGCACUCAUUUUACUAAGGUCAGUUGGGAGUUUUAUGACACUAAAUUCAAUAUAAACAUCAGCAAAAUUGCUAGCUUAGCAAGAUAAUUAAUAGAGGGAGUUUUAUAAGAUGAGAGAGGAGUUUCAUCCCCAUAACACUUAUCUGGCACAGUUAGCUAGUUCUUAGUAUAGGUAACUGCGUACUGAGAAUGGUCUAAGUAAUUCAGUUUUGAAACUUCAGUUCAUAUGUUCGUAUCAAGCAGUUCUAUUGAUGUGGCUAUAUAAAGUGUUAAAUCUUUCAAGGGAUCUCACUUAAAUAUACACUAUUAAAUACCGCAGAACUUCCGACAAAAAGCAGCUCGCACUCGGUUUUGGGAAAAGAUAAAAAAAAAAGACAGCCUGCGCAGCGGUGUUUCCGAAAACAAAAAACAAAAAUGCGAGAAGCGCACAAAAAGAAACAGAUUGUUGGUUGGAGCAUCAUCGCUCACAACAAAUCUACCGUAACACUUGCGCAAGCGAUGGACACCAGCUGGCUAAGCUUUUUGUGUCGAUAUGGAACAGAAAGGGGCACUGUAGUGUUGGUACCUUGCACGUAUGCGUCCGUUACAUGUUCGACGAACGUGAGUCACCCGUCGUCGUAGAUGAGACCACGCCAAUUCAGUUUGAUGAGAGCCUUUUUUUAAUUCCUCUGUGGAGAAGACAACAGCAACCGUGACGUGUUGGAUUGUUGUACGCGCCGCGCCAUCAGCUUUUUGCACUAGCCUGAGACCACUUCCAACUUUGCAAACUUGCUCGUAUUACGUGUAAAUCUCAUCCGAGCUGGGAUUAUGCCCAAGUGCCCAACCGAUUUUGUGCACGCACGUUUCACUUUUAAUGUUUGCGGUGGGCUGCUGACCCUGGGUUUGUGGCCUGUGAAGAAAAAGCGUUAACUAGAUGCUUGCAAGCUUCUUCAUCACACACUGUUCGUUGCGCUCGUCGCCCUGUCACCAACCGGUCCCUUCAGGUCGAUCACACCACCGGUUCGCCACGUCAGUGUCUCGCUUCACUCGCUAUAAAUAGAGCCCGGCGCCGGCUCUGCUUCAUCACCAAUUGUGAUCUCUGCUAGCUACCGUACCUCCAGUGUGUGCUCGUGCUAACAGCAGCAAUGGCGCCCGCUCAAUGUGUGGCCUCGCAGAGGGUGUUCCACUUCGGCAAGGGCAAGAGCGAGGGCAACAAGACGAUGAAGGAGCUGCUGGGCGGCAAGGGCGCGAACCUGGCGGAGAUGUCGAGCAUCGGGCUGUCGGUGCCGCCGGGGUUCACGGUGUCGACGGAGGCCUGCCAGCAGUACCAGGAGGCGGGGCGCUCCCUGCCGCAGGGCCUCUGGGACGAGAUCAUCGACGGCCUGGCGUGGGUGGAGGAGGAAAUGGGCGCCCGCCUCGGCGACCCGCAGCGCCCGCUCCUGCUCUCCGUCCGCUCCGGCGCCGCGGU
rnacentral:lncRNA from 1 species